rnacentral:rRNA from 1 species
GACGAACGCUUGAUUCUUUCUUAACACAUUCAAGUCGAACGUAAAGGCCCUGCUUUUUUGUGUUGCUCGAGUGGCGAACGGGUGAGUAACACGUGAGUAUCCUGCCCUUGACUUUGGGAUAACUUCAUGAAACUGGGGCUAAUACCGUAUAGGAGCUCCUGCUGCAUGGUGGGGGUUGGAAAGUUUCGGCGGGUGGGGAUGGACUCGCGGCUUAUCAGCUUGUUGGUGGGGUAGUGGCUUACCAAGGCUUUGACUGUUCGCCGGCCUGAGUGGGUGACCAGGCACAUUGCGACUGCGAUACGGCCCAGACUCCUACGGGAGGCAGCAGUGGGGAAUCUUGCACAAUGGGCGGAAGCCUGAUGCAGCAACGCCGCGUGCGGGAGGAAGUAGUGCGGGUUGUAAACCGCUUUCGCCUGUGACGAAGCGUGAGUGACGGUAAUGGGUAAAGAAGCAAAGGAGAAAGACGGG